AACGAACGCUGGCGGCAGGCUUAACACAUGCAAGUCGAACGCAUCCUUCGGGGUGAGUGGCAGACGGGUGAGUAACGCGUGGGAACGUGCCCUUCAGUUCGGGAUAACCAGGGAAACUUGGGCUAAUACCGGAUACGUGCGGGAGCAGAAAGAUUUAUCGCUGAAGGAUCGGCCCGCGUCUGAUUAGCUAGUUGGUGGGGUAAUGGCCCACCAAGGCGACGAUCAGUAGCUGGUCUGAGAGGAUGAUCAGCCACAUUGGGACUGAGACACGGCCCAAACUCCUACGGGAGGCAGCAGUGGGGAAUAUUGGACAAUGGGCGCAAGCCUGAUCCAGCCAUGCCGCGUGAGUGAUGAAGGCCUUAGGGUUGUAAAGCUCUUUCGUCCGGGACGAUAAUGACGGUACCGGAAGAAGAAGCCCCGGCUAACUUCGUGCCAGCAGCCGCAGUAACAC
rnacentral:rRNA from 1 species